AUCAGGCUCCAGUGCAGUGGUGUUUACAACUAAUUAAUCGCAACCAGUUACAGAUUUAUUUGACCUCUUUCCGCUCUGACUGCUUCAUUUGACUAGAUUUGA
rnacentral:Y_RNA from 1 species